rnacentral:rRNA from 1 species
UACGUAGGGGGCAAGCGUUGUCCGGAAUCAUUGGGCGUAAAGAGCGUGUAGGCGGCUUGGUAAGUCCGCUGUGAAAGUCCAGGGCUCAACCCUGGAAAGCCGGUGGAAACUGUCAAGCUUGAGUCCGGAAGAGGCGAGUGGAAUUCCUGGUGUAGCGGUGAAAUGCGCAGAUAUCAGGAGGAACACCGAUGGCGAAGGCAGGUCUCUGGGCCACUACUGACGCUGAGAAGCGAAAGCAUGGGGGAGCGAACAGG